rnacentral:lncRNA from 10 species
CGAGGCAGGAUGGUCCCCCAGCUCCAUAUCCCAGCCUGGAGAGACCUAUUUCUUCCAUUCUGCACCUUGGGCCUGGCAGCUUAAGAAAUAAUGACACAUGGCCUGCAGGCCAAAAUACCUUGGUUCUAUUCCCAACCCUGUCACUUACGGGCUGUGUGACCUCAGGCAAGUUGCUAAAUCUCUCUGAACCUCAGUUACUUCAUCUGGAAAGGAAUGGAGUUGGACCUCGUGAUUAAUAAAGUUCCUUUUCAGCUCUGAUCUCCCAGGAUUCUAAAUCUCUGCUACCUGAAGAUAUAAAAACAUACCACAUUCUUUUCCCCUAGCAAUACAGUUUUAGUGGAUAAGGCUAACUAUACAGUUAAUGAGACUUAAUAUACAGUUUUAGUGAAUAAGACAUACAUGUAGAAAGCAAAUGCAACAUGCUUGUUUCAUUUAUGGCAAACAACUAAUAAAAUAUAUAUUUGAAAGUUUCAACAAAGGACUCAUAUCCAGAUUCUACAAAGAACUCAAACAAAUUGGCAAUAAUAAUAAUAAUCCCAUCGAAAAGUGGACAAAUGACAUAAAUAGACAUUUCUCAACAGAUAACUCAGGAAUGAAAAACCAAAUAUUGUGUGUUCUCACUUAUAAGUGGAAGUUAAGCUAUGAGUAUGCAAAGACGUGCAGAGUGGUAUAAUGAACUUUAGAGACUCGGAAGGGGGAGGAUAAGAAGGGGUAGUGGAAUAAAAUCUACAUAUUGGGUACAAUGUACACUAGUCGGGUGAAGCGUGUGCUAAAAUAACCACGAAUGUCAGGUGACCAUCAGGUGAUGAUCAGACAGCUGUUAAGCUGUCUCUCUAAGAUAAUAAUUGGUUGCAGCUGGCGCCAGGACAAGUCAGUGUUUCAAUAGAGAGAUAAAACCUGAAAAGAAAUGGGCAGUAUGGUGCAGCUCAGGCAAAAAACCCACCUGCAUAAUAAAAGAUUAGGGUGGGGGCUACCAGAGAUUUGUACCCUAUGCAAAUGACACAACUGGUUUAACCAGUUUUUCACGCGAGUAUAAACUAAUAUUUUUAUUGUCUGGCUUUAUAACUUUAUUUUGAUAUUGUAAAAGUGACACUUAUUUUUGAAAAUUGGAAAAAUUAAAAAUUACAUCAAGAUAAAAAAACAGAGAACCAUUUCACGCAAGUACAAUUAUUUGACACAGUUUGUCACUUUAGAUGCCUGACUGCUAGAGGUAACAUAAGGUUUUUAAUCUUAUAUAGGGUUACAACAGGAAAUGACAUUAAAGGUAAAUUAUCAAGAGUUAUAUCCUCAUUCUGUCCAUGAAGGAAUUCAGGCUUAUCCUUCCAGAAAGUUUUUAUAUAGUAGAAUACACAUAAAUAUUUGUUAAGUUAAAUCUAGACUAUAAAUUUUCAUUAGAAUUAUUUGUAACUACUAGUAUUUAUUUAAAAAUUGGUUUUUAAUUAUUCAAGAAAUACAUAGAGGGAUGAAUGUCAAUAAGGUAGCAAAACAGGAAGUCCUCCUCCACAGAGAUAUGUAAUUAAAAACAAUACACAGACCAUUACCUUUGUGAGCAAUGCAGAACCUAGUUAAGAGAUGCCUAAACCCUAGGUGAGCAUGUAACCAAAAAGAACCAUAUCAAAGACAGUAGAAAAAUUCAUGGCCUUUACUCACCACAGCUCUUCCCUCUGGCACAGCACAGUGUCAUUGGGAAAAAAAAACUUUCAACUCCUGGUUUCUCCCUGGAAUAAGAGAAAAAAAAGAGUGGAAGAUACAUCCAAUGUUCUGAUUUCUGAGAGGCUACCCAAGAAAAUGUUUUUUAUCUUGCCUGAAUCUAAGCUCUGAAAGGAAUAAGUGCCAGGAGAGGAUCACUGAUAACAAAGUUGGUCACUGGGACUUAGUCUAAUGCCAGAGAAGAUACAGUGUCACAGACAGACACUAGGCAGUGUCCCAGUAUCAUGACUUGCUACAGCACCAGAGAGGCUGUAGUACCACAGACAUAUACUGAGGGGAGGUACUGAGUAAAGAGAGGUAAGCCUCUUCAACUGGUAGAUAACAAGCACAAGCCCAGAGAAGAUGAAUCCCUAGAAAAGGCUUGAGAGGUCUCCAGCCUUUUCUAAAGAGAGGUAAGCCUCUUUAACUGGUAGAUAACAAGCACAAGCCCAGAGAAGAUGAAUGCCUAGAAAAGGCUUGAGAGGCCUCCAGCAUUUGUAGCCAGGCAGAAGAAACAAUGAGUGAAUUCAAUGACAGGAUAUUCAAAAUUAUCAAGUCUGAAGAGCAAAAAGAAAAAAGAAAAGAAAAGAAGAAAAGUGAAGAGAGCCUAAGGGAUUUAAAGAAAACAAGCAGAACAGCAUGCACAUUAUGAAAAGUUCCAAAGGAGAAAAAGAAGAUGGAGGAUUAGAAAGCCUAUUUGAAUAAAUAGUGACUGAAAAUCUCCCUAAUCUGAGAAAAGAAAUGAACACACACAUUCAAGAAGCUCAAAGAACUUCAACUAGCAUAAAUUUAAAGUGAGCUAUCCUGAGACACAUUAUAAUCAAACUGUCAAAAUUCAGACAGAGACAAUUUUGAAAUCAGCAAGAGAAAAGCAAGCUAUCACAUACCCAGUAGCUCCAAUAUGAUUAUCAGCAAAUUUCUAGGCAGAAACAUUGCAGGCUAGAAGAGAGUGGAAUGAUAUAUUCAAACUACUGACAGAAAAUAAACUGACAACCAAGAAUAUUAUAACUGGUAAAAACGGUCCUUUAAAAAUAAAGGAGAAAUAAGAUUUUCCCAGGUAAACAUAGGGCGAGAAAGUGCAUCACCACUAGACUGGCCCUAUAAGAAAUGCUGAAGAGAGUUCUUCAAAUUGAAAUGAAAAAAAUGUUAAACAGCAACACAAAAUGAUACAAAAGUAUAAAACUCUCUGGUAAAGGUCAACAUAUAGACAAUUAUAGAAUUCUGUCAUAUUAUAAGCAAAAAAAUUACUUUUAAAUCUGGCAUAAAAGUAUUUAAACAAUAGCACAGAAAGUAACUCUAAAUCUAUGUUAAUGGAUAUGCAAUUAAGAAGCAGUAUUAUGCAUCAUCAAGAACGUAAAAGUGGAUGUGGAUGAAGUAAUACAAAGUAGAGUUUUUCUAUGCAGUUGAAGUUAAAUUGUUAUCAGUUUAAAAUAGAUUCUUAUACAUUUAAGAUAUUUGAUGUAAUUGCAAUGUUAACUGAUAAGAAAAUAUGUAUAUAAUAUACACAAAAGGAAACAGUAAGGGAAUCAAAACAUAUCACUACAAGAAAAAUAUCAAUGAAACACAAAAGAAGACAGCAAGAUAGGAGAAAAGAGAUGAAAGAGCUACCACAUACUGAAAACAAUUAAUGAAGUGGCAAUAGUAAGUGAUUUCCUGUCAGUAAUUACUUUAAAGGUAAAUUGGUUAAACUCUCCUAUUAAAAUACAAAGAUUGACUGAAUGGAUAAAACACAGGAUUCAACUAUAUGCUGUCUACAAGAGACUCAGUUUAGAUAUAAGAACAACACACCGAAAGUGAAAAGAUGGAAAAAUAUUCCAUCCUUUCACAUAUUCCAUUCAAAUAAGUAAUAUGUAGUAUUUCUUUUAAAAGAUAAGGAAUAUGUGGUAUGUACAUACAAUGGAAUAUUAUUCAGCCUUAAAAAAGAAGAAAGUCACGUCACAUGCUCUAAUAUGGAUGAACCUUGAGGAGAUUAUGGUAAAUGAAAUAAGCGAGUCACAGAAAUACAAAUACUUUAAGAUUCCACUUAUAUGAAGUACUUAAAUUAGUGAAAAUCAUAGAAACAGAAAAUAGAAAGUGGUUUCCAAGGGCUGGGGGAAGGUUGAGGGGAAAUUAGUGUUUAAUAAGUACAGGGUUUCAGUUUUGCAACAUGAAAGAAUUCUAGACAUUUCUUGAGUAACAAUAUGAAAAUAAUUAACACUACUGAACUGUACAUUUGAAAACAGUUAAGACAGUAAAUUUAACUUUAUGUUUUUUGCCACAAGCAAAAAAGAAAAGAAAUAUAUAAACAAAUUCUUUUUUAAAAUACUGAAACAUUAGGUAAGGCCCUACUUCUCACCACACCUAUGCCCCAAUUCUGGGCAUGAUGUCAUUUCCCCAGUAGUAUCAUCAUUACUAACUUGUUCAUCCUCCCAAAUCCUUUUCUAUAUUUCUAAACACAAACAUGCAUGUACAAAAACUUACAUGUAGUUAUAGAAAAUAUGAUUAUUUUGUAUUUACGUUUUUACUCAACUUAUGUCUUCCACUUGCUUAUUUAUUCAACAACAUAGCCUACAAAUAUAUCAAAGUUAUUUAAAGAUUAUCAGUAACAUUGUUUUUAAAUACUGCUUAAUAUUCUAUUGUAUGGAUUUAGCAGUUUAUUUAGACUGUCCCUUGUUGAUUAACACCACUACUGUUUAACAUUUUGCAAGUAAAAAUGAUGCAGCCAGGAUCGUCUGCUUAGCCCCUGGAGAAGAUUUUUUUUUAAUUUGGUAAGUUAUAUCUUUUAUUUCUGGAAAAUUCUCAGACAUUAUUCUGCUUAAUUUUUCUCUCCAUCAUUCUCUCUAAAAAUAAAAAAAAAUCCAUCUUUCUGGAACUACUUUUAGAUAGAAGUUAGGGUUUCUUGUUUUAGCCUCCUUGUAUUAACUUUGAUUUGUUUGUAGUUUCCAAAAUUAUUCCACCAAACAACUUCUACAUUUUUGGACUGAACACCCACCUACAUUUUGGAAAACCUUCUGCUAUAAUUCUCAUCAGCACUGUAUUAGACUUUUUCUAUCCUGGUGUUCAUAAAAAUCCUCUGAGAGGCUUAUUUAAAAAGUAGAUUCCUAGGUCUACUCCCAAAUAUUCUGGGUUAGUA